GCUUAACACAUGCAAGUCGAGCGAGAAUCGUUUAUUGAAGGCUUCGGCUGGAAAUAGAUGAGGAAAGCGGCGAACGGGUGAGUAACGCGUGGGCAACCUGGCCUUAAGAAAAGGAUAGCCCCCGGAAACGGGGAGUAAUACUUUAUGAGAAUGAGAGAGGGCAUCCUACUUUCAUUCAAAGCGCAAGCGCUUAAGGAUGGGCCCGCGUAUCAUUAGCUAGUUGGUGAGAUAACAGCCCACCAAGGCAACGAUGAUUAGCCGGUCUAGGAGGGCGAACGGGCACAUUGGAACUGAGAGACGGUCCAAACUCCUACGGGAGGCAGCAGUGGGGAAUAUUGCGCAAUGGAGAAGAACUCUGACGCAGCAAUACCGCGUGAGCGAAGAAGGUCUUCGGAUCGUAAAGCUCUGUUAUCAGGGAAGAAGAAAAUGACGGUACCUGAUGAGCAAGUCCCGGCUAACUACGUGCCAGCCGCCGCCGUAA
rnacentral:rRNA from 1 species